AUGAACGCUGGCGGUAUGCUUAACACAUGCAAGUCGAACGGACUCUUCGGAGUUAGUGGCGGACGGGUGAGUAACGCGUGAGAAUCUGGCUUUGGGUUCGGGACAACCACUGGAAACGGUGGCUAAUACCGGAUGUGCCGAGAGGUAAAAGAGAAAUUGCCUGAAGAUGAGCUCGCGUCUGAUUAGCUAGUUGGUGAGGUAAAGGCUCACCAAGGCAGCGAUCAGUAGCUGGUCUGAGAGGAUGACCAGCCACACUGGGACUGAGACACGGCCCAGACUCCUACGGGAGGCAGCAGUGGGGAAUUUUCCGCAAUGGGCGAAAGCCUGACGGAGCAAUACCGCGUGAGGGAAGAAGGCUCUUGGGUUGUAGACCUCUUUUCUUAGGGAAGAACAAAAUGACGGUACCUAAGGAAUCAGCAUCGGCUAACUCCGUG
rnacentral:rRNA from 1 species